GACGAACGCUGGCGGUGUGCUUAACACAUGCAAGUCGAACGGUAAGGCCCUUUCGGGGGUCCGCGAGUGGCGAACGGGUGAGUAACACGUGAGUAACCUGCCCUCAUCUCUGGGAUAACAGUCGGAAACGGUUGCUAAUACUGGAUAUGAGCUUGCAAGGCAUCUUGUGGGUUGGAAAGAUUUUUUUUGGUUGGGGAUGGACUCGCGGCCUAUCAGCUUGUUGGUGAGGUAGUGGCUCACCAAGGCUUCGACGGGUGGCCGGCCUGAGAGGGCGACCGGCCACAUUGGGACUGAGAUACGGCCCAAACUCCUACGGGAGGCAGCAGUGGGGAAUAUUGCACAAUGGACGGAAGUCUGAUGCAGCAACGCCGCGUGCGGGAUGACGGCCUUCGGGUUGUAAACCGCUUUCAAUUGUGACGAAGCUUAUUUGUGACGGUAGCAGUAGAAGAAGCACCGGCUAACUACGUG
rnacentral:rRNA from 1 species